UACGUAGGGGGCAAGCGUUGUCCGGAAUCAUUGGGCGUAAAGAGCGUGUAGGCGGCCCGAUAAGUCCGCUGUGAAAGUCCAGGGCUCAACCCUGGAAUGCCGGUGGAUACUGUCGGGCUAGAGUCCGGAAGAGGCGAGUGGAAUUCCUGGUGUAGCGGUGAAAUGCGCAGAUAUCAGGAGGAACACCAAUGGCGAAGGCAGCUCGCUGGGACGGUACUGACGCUGAGGCGCGAAAGCGUGGGGAGCAAACAGG
rnacentral:rRNA from 1 species